rnacentral:rRNA from 1 species
GACAGAGGUGCCAAGCGUUAGGCGGAAUCACGGGGCUUAAAGCGUGUGUAGGCGGAUUUGUAAGUACCUUGUGAAAUCCCAUGGCUCAACCAUGGAACUGCUCGGUAUACUGCGAAUCUUGAGCCACUUAGGGGCUACCGGAACAAAUGGUGGAGCGGUGAAAUGCGUAGAUAUCAUUUGGAACGCCAAUGGUGAAAACAGGUAGCUGGGAGUGUGCUGACGCUGAGACACGAAAGCCAGGGGAGCGAACGGG